UACGUAGGGUGCGAGCGUUGUCCGGAAUUACUGGGCGUAAAGAGCUCGUAGGCGGCUUGUCGCGUUGUUCGUGAAAAUUUACCGCUCAACGGUGAACUUGCGGGCGAUACGGGCAGGCUAGAGUCCGGAAGAGGAGAGUGGAAUUCCUGGUGUAGCGGUGAAAUGCGCAGAUAUCAGGAAGAACACCCGUGGCGAAGGCGGCUCUCUGGGACGGUACUGACGCUGAGACGCGAAAGCGUGGGGAGCGAACAGG
rnacentral:rRNA from 1 species